rnacentral:rRNA from 1 species
GAUGAACGCUGGCGGCGUGCCUAAUACAUGCAAGUCGAGCGAACGGACGAGAAGCUUGCUUCUCUGAUGUUAGCGGCGGACGGGUGAGUAACACGUGGAUAACCUACCUAUAAGACUGGGAUAACUUCGGGAAACCGGAGUUAAUACCGGAUGAUAUUUUGAACCGCAUGGUUCAAAAGUGAAAGACGGUCUUGCUGUCACCUAUAGAUGGAUCCGCGCUGCAUUAGCUAGUUGGUAAGGUAACGGCUUACCAAGGCAACGAUGCAUAGCCGACCUGAGAGGGUGAUCGGCCACACUGGAACUGAGACACGGUCCAGACUCCUACGAGAGGCAGCAGUAGGGAAUCUUCCGCAAUGGGCGAAAGCCUGACGGAGCAACGCCGCGUGAGUGAUGAAGGUCUUCGGAUCGUAAAACUCUGUUAUUAGGGAAGAACAUAUGUGUAAGUAACUGUGCACAUCUUGACGGUACCUAAUCAGAAAGCCACGGCUAACUACGUG